rnacentral:rRNA from 1 species
GGCUCAGAUUGAACGCUGGCGGCAGGCUUAACACAUGCAAGUCGAGCGGGCGAGGUUGCUUCGGUAACUGAGCUAGCGGCGGACGGGUGAGUAAUGCUUAGGAAUCUGCCUAUUAGUGGGGGACAACAUUCCGAAAGGGAUGCUAAUACCGCAUACGUCCUACGGGAGAAAGCAGGGGCUCUUUAUGACCUUGCGCUAAUAGAUGAGCCUAAGUCGGAUUAGCUAGUUGGUGGGGUAAAGGCCUACCAAGGCGACGAUCUGUAGCGGGUCUGAGAGGAUGACCCGCCACACUGGGACUGAGACACGGCCCAGACUCCUACGGGAGGCAGCAGUGGGGAAUAUUGGACAAUGGGGGGAACCCUGAUCCAGCCAUGCCGCGUGUGUGAAGAAGGCCUUUUGGUUGUAAAGCACUUUAAGCGAGGAGGAAGGUUUUUAGUUUAAUACACUAAAGAAUUGACGUUACUCGCAGAAUAAGCACCGGCUAACUCUGUG